GAGGGGGUGGGGCUUUGCCCGGACAGAGGAUCUCCUCGCUGGCCUACUCUCUCCUCCCGUACGGCGCCGGAAUCCCAGCUCCACUUACCAGGCCGCGGCUACCCUGCCGUCCCCCCCGACUCCCGCCACCCCGCUCUCCCAGGCUCUUCAGGAUCCAAGUCUGUAGGCCCUUUAAGGGGUCUAAUUGCCGUUUGCGGGGCCCUGGGACUUUGAUCCCAGACAGCGAGGAUCCGGAUGGCUUCCGUGCGGAUCCGAGAGGCCAAGGAGGGAGACUGUGGAGAUAUCCUGAGGCUGAUUCGGGUGAAGACUGCGGGCCGGAGCUAGCCGAAUUCGAAAAACUCUCGGAUCAGGUGAAGAUCAGUGAAGAAGCCCUGAGAGCAGAUGGCUUUGGAGACAAUCCUUUCUAUCACUGUUUGGUAGCAGAGAUUCUUCCAGCGCCCGGGAAGCUACUGGGGCCCUGCGUGGUGGGCUAUGGGAUAUACUAUUUCAUCUACAGUACAUGGAAGGGACGCACCAUUUAUCUGGAGGAUGUCUAUGUGAUGCCGGAAUAUCGGGGUCAAGGGAUUGGUUCCAAAAUAAUCAAAAAGGUGGCUGAGGUGGCCUUGGAUAAGGGCUGCUCCCAAUUCCGCCUGGCCGUCCUGGACUGGAACCAGAGGGCCAUGGACUUGUACAAGGCCCUAGGAGCCCAAGAUCUGACGGAAGCUGAGGGCUGGCACUUCUUCUGCUUUCAAGGAGAGGCAACGAGAAAGUUGGCAGGAAAGUGACGCCAUCCCUAGGAGGAUCUCUCUCUUGAGUUUCUCCUUCCCCAUCAGCUGAAGCACUCUUCAGAGACUACGUCCACAGACACUGAUGCUGAGGCCUCCCUGGAGGAAGGAGGGUUGGGGGUGCCUAUCCUCAAGUAUUGGAAGAGCAGAAUUGAGGGAGAGACCUUUCUUCCUUGUUGAGGGUGAAAAAUAAAUAAGAAUUACAUGUCC
rnacentral:sRNA from 1 species